GGUGGUAUAGCUCAGUGAUAGAGCACAUGCUUAGAAUGCAUGAGGCCUUGAGUUCUGCCA
rnacentral:tRNA from 1 species